AUGAUUCAAGAGUACAAUCCGAGUAUUGAAUAUACUCCAGGCAAAGCCAAUGUCAUUGCAGAUGCUUUGAGCAGGAAGGCUUAUCGCAACAGCUUAAUUCUCAAGCCAUUUCAACCGGAUCUUUGUGAAGCUUUCCGCAAGCUGAAUCUCCAAGUUGUUCCUCAAGGCUUUCUUGCCAACCUCAUAGUCUCUCCUACUUUGGAAGAUCAAAUUCGUGAGGCACAACUCCUGGAUACCAUGGUGAAGAAGGUGAAACGUGGUAUUGACAAGGGUCUUUCCAAAUACAAGUGCUAUCGCAUUGAUGACAGAGACACUUUAUUCUUCGAGGACCGGAUUGUGGUUCCUAAAGGUGAUCUAAGGAAAGUCAUUAUGAACGAGGCGCACAAUUCUCUUCUUUCCAUUCAUUCUGGAAGUACGAAGAUGUACCAUGACCUCAAGCAGUCGUAUUGGUGGACUCGAAUGAAGCGAGAAAUCGCUCAAUUCGUGAAUGAAUGUGAUGUCUGUCGAAGAGUGAAAGCAGAACACCAACGACCAGCCGGUCUUCUCCAACCUCUUGCUAUCCCAGAGUGGAAGUUUGAUCAUAUCGAAAUGGACUUCGUGACUGGAUUUCCAAAGUCCAAGCGUGGAAAUGAUGCUAUCUUCGUUGUCAUCGACAAGCUUACUAAAGUGGCUCAUUUCCUUCCAAUCAAAGAAUCUACCACAGAAGCUCAGUUGGCAGAGCUAUACACCUCCAGGAUUGUCUCCUUGCACGGCAUUCCACAAUUGAUUUCUUCAGAUCGUGGAAGCAUCUUCACUUCUAAGUUCUGGGACUCCUUCCAGAAGGCCAUGGGCACACAUAUUCGCUUCAGCACAGCUUUCCAUCCUCAAACUAGUGGCCAAGUCGAGCGAGUCAAUCAAAUUCUUGAAGAUAUGCUCAGGGCUUGUGUCAUUUCCUUUGGCAUGAAAUGGGAAGAUUGUCUUCCAUAUGCAGAAUUCUCCUACAACAACAGCUUCCAAGCAAGUUCGGGCAAUGCCCCAUUCGAGAUUCUCUAUGGCAGAAAGUGUCGUACUCCUCUCAAUUGGUCAGAGACUGGUGAACGCCAACUUCUUGGCAAUGACUUAAUCACAGAGGCUGAAGAAAUGUGUAAAGUCAUACGUGAAAAUCUCAAAGCCGCACAAUCGCGACAGAAGAGUUACUAUGAUAGUAAGCACCGUGAUGUGGCUUUCGAGAUCGGAGACCAUGUCUACCUCCGCGUCUCUCCAAUGAAAGGCACUCGUCGCUUCGGUAUCAAAGGGAAGCUUGCCCCUAGAUACGUGGGUCCUUUCAAGAUCAUUGGCAAAAGAGGCAACCUCGCCUAUCAACUUGAGCUUCCCUCCAACUUCGCGAACGUGCACGAUGUGUUCCACGUGUCACAGCUCCGCAAGUGCUUCAAGACUCCUGAGCACACCAUCAACUUCGAAGAGAUUGACCUCCAAGAAGAUCUGUCUUAUCAUGAGCACCCCGUUGCUAUUCUUGAAGAAACUGAGCGCAAGACUCGCAACAAGUCAAUCAAAUUCCUGAAAGUGAAGUGGUCGCACCAUUCCGACCGAGAAGCCACCUGGGAACGCGAGGACCACCUCCGUUCCGAAUAUCCGGAGUUCUUUCAGUCCUAG
rnacentral:rRNA from 1 species